UCUUAAUUUAUAAGCUUUUUAUUAAAAAUGUUUUAAACUUGUUUUUACUUUUUAAACUUUUUUGUUAUAAAUGAAGACAUAAACACACACAUUAACCUAGGCCUACACAAUAUCAAGAUCAUCAGUAUCACUCUUCCACCUCCACAUCCUAUCCCACUGAAAGGUCUUCAGGGGCAGUAACAUGCAUAGAGCUGUCAUCUGUGAUAACAGUGCCUUCUUCAGGAUACCUCCUAAAGGACCUCUCUGAAGGUAUUUUACAGUUAACCUUUUUUUCUUUUUAGUAAGCAGAAGGAAUAUAUAAUUAACAAUAAAAAGUAUAGUACAUGCAUAAACUAAUAAUAGUCAUAUAAUACUAUUAUGUAUUAUGUACUAUAUAUAAUUAUAUGUGCCAUACUUUUAUAUAACUGGCAGCACAGUAGGUUUGUUUACACCAACAUCUCAAACACACGAGUAAUGCCCCCUUGUGUUACAGUGUUAGGAUGGCUAUGAUGUCACUAAGCGAUAGAAAUUUUUCAGCUUCAUUAUAAUUUUUUGGGACUGCUGUGUAUAUGCAGUCUAUAGUUGACUGAAAUGUUGUUUUGUGGUGCCUGACUGUAUAUAUGUGUAUGUAUGUAUAGGUAUAUGUCUACAUACACACUGUGUGUGUGUGUGUGUGUUUGUAUAAAAUGCAAACCUGAAACAUUUGUUAGCUUUUUCUAUUGUAUGUUUUUAAAAACUUGCUCUUCCAAAUUAUGCAUAAAAAGAAAACAAAAACAGGUGACUUGUUUUCUAUUAGGGGAGAAGUUGCAGUUAGAGAACCUCUAAUGGCGGUACUUUCAGCCCAACAAACGAGACUAAAAUGAUGUGGCCCAUAUACGUAAAGUAGUCAUUUCCUAUCUGCAGGGAAUAUGUUCCAUGACCCCCAGUAGAUGCCUGAAAUCACAGAUAGUGCCAAACCCUAUAUCUACUAUGUUUUUUCCUGUAUAUACACAUACCUAUGAUAAAGUUUAACUUAUAAAUUAAGCAUAGUAAGAAAUUAACAACAAUAAUAAAAUAGAACAAUUACAACAGUGUACCGUUACGUGAAUAAAAGUUAUGUGGAUGUCAGGCUCCUUCCGCGAAUCGCAGCCUCUGGGACCAGGGUCGCUCCGUUCGUGCUCCGCCUCGCCAUGACUUCCUACAGUUGUCGCCAGUCGUCGGCUACGUCGUCCUUCGGAGGCCUGGGCAGCGGCUCCGUGCGUUUUGGGCCGGGGGUCGCCUUUCGCGCGCCCAGCAUGCACGGGGGCUCCGGCGGCCGCGGUGUGUCCGUGUCCUCUGCCCGCUUCGUGUCUUCGUCCUCCUCCGGGGGCUACGGCGGCGGCUACGGCGGCGUCCUGGCCGCGUCCGACGGGCUGCUGGCGGGCAACGAGAAGCUCACCAUGCAGAACCUCAACGACCGCCUGGCCUCCUACCUGGACAAGGUGCGCGCCCUGGAGGCGGCCAGCGGCGAGCUGGAGGUGAAAAUCCGCGGCUGGUACCAGAAGCAGGGGCCCUGGCCCUCCUGCGACUACAGCCACUACUACACCACCAUCCAGGACCUGCGGGACAAGAUUCUUGGUGCCACCAUUGAGAACUCCAGGAUUGUCCUGCAGAUCGACAAUGCCCGUCUGGCUGCAGAUGACUUCCGAACCAAGUUUGAGACGGAGCAGGCUCUGCGUAUGAGCGUGGAGGCCGACAUCAACGGCCUGCGCAGGGUGCUGGAUGAGCUGACCCUGGCCAGGACUGACCUGGAGAUGCAGAUCGAGGGCCUGAAGGAAGAGCUGGCCUACCUGAAGAAGAACCAUGAGGAGGAAAUCAGUGUGCUGAGGGGCCAAGUGGGAGGCCAGGUCAGUGUGGAGGUGGAUUCGGCUCCGGGCACUGAUCUCGCCAAGAUCCUGAGUGACAUGCGAAGCCAAUACGAGGUCAUGGCCGAGCAGAACUGGAAGGAUGCUGAAGCCUGGUUCACCAGCCGGACUGAAGAAUUGAACCGGGAGGUGGCUGGCCACACGGAGCAGCUCCAGAUAAGCAGGUCCGAGGUCACUGACCUUCGGCGCACCCUCCAGGGUCUUGAGAUUGAGCUGCAGUCCCAGCUGAGCAAGAAAGCUGCUUUGGAAGACACACUGGCAGAAACAGAGGCGCGCUUUGGAGUCCAGCUGGCGCAUAUCCAGGCACUGAUCAGUGGUGUUGAAGCCCAGCUAGGUGAUGUGCGAGCUGAUAGUGAGCGGCAGAAUCAGGAGUACCAGGCGGCUCAUGGACAUCAAGUCGCGGCUGGAGCAGGAGAUUGCCACCUACCGCAGCCUGCUCGAGGGCCAGGAAGAUCACUACAACAACCUGUCCGCCUCCAAGGUCCUCUGAGGCAGCAGGCUCUGGGGGCUUCUGCUGUUCUUCGGGGGGUGUCUCCUGGGUAAGGGGAUGGGAAGGAAGGGACCCUUACCCCUGGCUCUUCCCCUGACCUUCCAAUAAAAUUUUAUGGUCCAAGGGAAAAAAAAAA